UGAUGAGACCCAAACAGGUCGAAACAGCUGUC
rnacentral:hammerhead_ribozyme from 1 species